rnacentral:rRNA from 1 species
CUACGGGUUGCAGCAGUGGGGAAUAUUGCACAAUGGGCGCAAGCCUGAUGCAGCCAUGCCGCGUGUAUGAAGAAGGCCUUCGGGUUGUAAAGUACUUUCAGCGGGGAGGAAGGGAGUAAAGUUAAUACCUUUGCUCAUUGACGUUACCCGCAGAAGAAGCACCGGCUAACUCCGUGCCAGCAGCCGCGGUAAUACGGAGGGUGCAAGCGUUAAUCGGAAUUACUGGGCGUAAAGCGCACGCAGGCGGUUUGUUAAGUCAGAUGUGAAAUCCCCGGGUUCAACCUGGGAACUGCAUCUGAUACUGGCAAGCUUGAGUCUCGUAGAGGGGGGUAGAAUUCCAGGUGUAGCGGUGACAUGCGUAGAGAUCUGGAGGAAUGCCGGUGGCGAAGGCGGCCCCCUGGACGAAGACUGACGCUCAGGUGCGAAAGCGUGGGGAGCAAACAGGAUUAGAUACCCGUGUAGUC